GGAAGGAUCAUUAACAAGAAAUGAACUAAUAACUAGCUGAGUAUCAUAUAACCGUAGUGGUUAUAGCAUAUAUAAACAUAUACUUCUUAAUAAUACAUAAACUAAUCGAUGGUUGAUAAAAAUCUAAAUUUUCAACAACGGAUGUCUUGGCUCCCAUAUCGAUGAAGAACGCAGCAAGAAUGCGAUAUGCAAUGUGAAUUGCAGAACCACGAAUCAUCGGAUAUUUGAACGCAACUGGCACUAGCCAACUAGUAUACUUGUUUCAGUGUGCUCAAACAAAUAAUUAAAUCUAAAUGUGGGAGAAUUUCUCCUAUGAAACAAUGCUCCUCGCAGCAGUCACAUUCUUAUGUGAGCUGGCGUAGAGACAAAACACACUUUAUACGCACCUGAAAUCAAGUAAGAUGACCCGCUGGACUUAAGCAUAUUAUUAAGCGGAGGAAAAGAAAUUAACUAAGAUUGCCUUAGUAAGGGCGACUGAACCGGCAAAAGCUCAAAAUUAAAAUCGAAAAUUCAAAGAAUCUUCGAAUUGUAAUCAGGAAUACCUAAAUACGAAAAAUCGCUCAAUCAUGUCGAAUCAUGAACCAGAGAGGGUGAAAGUCCCGUACAGCCUCUUUCCGCUCAAGGUAUUCUCAACAAGAGUCGGGUUGCUUGGAACUGCAGCCCUAAAUGGGAGAUAUAAAUCUUCCAAAGCUAAAUAAGGAUGGGAGACCGAUAGCGAACAAGUACUGUGAAGGAAAGAUGAAAAGGACUUUGAAAAGAGAGUGAAAAGAUCUGAAAUCGUUGAGAAGGAAAAGUAAAAACUGACGAUCAUAAUGAAAGACUACUUAAUCUAAUUAAGGAAAUCUUCUCAAUAUGAUGGGCAAAAUCAGCCUUGCAAAAUAUCCGUAAUAGGAUAUUCGCUUAAACAAUAAUAUAAAACCAGUUAAUAAAUACACUUCUUGAGGCUGACCCUCACGGGGACCUUUUGCCAAAAUGGUUUUUACUGUCCCGUCUUGAAGCACGGACCAAGGAGUCUAACAAAUAUACGAGUGUGCGAGUUUAAAAACUCAUACGCAAAAUGAAAGUAAAAGGUGCGCAGAUUUAUCCUCAGCAUCGACCGACCUAGUAAAAAAGGUUUGAGUUAUAGCAUAUCUGUUAGGACCCGAAAGAUGGUGAACUAUGCCUGAGUAGGGUGAAGUCAGGGGAAACCCUGAUGGAGGCUCGUAGCAUUGUUGACGUGCAAAUCACUCGUCAAACUUGUGUAUAGGGGCGAAAGACUAAUCGAACCAUCUAGUAGCUGGUUCCCUC
rnacentral:misc_RNA from 1 species